GUGAUGCGCGCUACCAUGCAAGUCGAGCGAACCUUCGGGUUAGCGGCGGACGGGUGAGUAACGCGUGGGAACGUACCCUCUUCUGCGGGAUAGCCACUGGAAACGGUGAGUAAUACCGCAUACGCCCUUCGGGGGAAAGAUUUAUCGGAGGAGGAUCGGCCCGCGUUGGAUUAGGUAGUUGGUGGGGUAAUGGCCUACCAAGCCUACGAUCCAUAGCUGGUUUUAGAGGAUGAUCAGCCACACUGGGACUGAGACACGGCCCAGACUCCUACGGGAGGCAGCAGUGGGGAAUCUUAGACAAUGGGCGCAAGCCUGAUCUAGCCAUGCCGCGUGAGUGACGAAGGCCUUAGGGUCGUAAAGCUCUUUCGCCAGAGAUGAUAAUGACAGUAUCUGGUAAAGAAACCCCGGCUAACUCCGUGCCAGCAGCCGCGGUAAUACGGAGGGGGUUAGCGUUGUUCGGAAUUACUGGGCGUAAAGCGCACGUAGGCGGAUUGGAAAGUUGGGGGUGAAAUCCCAGGGCUCAACCCUGGAACUGCCUCCAAAACUCCCAGUCUGGAGUUCGAGAGAGGUGAGUGGAAUUCCGAGUGUAGAGGUGAAAUUCGUAGAUAUUCGGAGGAACACCAGUGGCGAAGGCGGCUCACUGGCUCGAUACUGACGCUG
rnacentral:rRNA from 1 species